rnacentral:rRNA from 1 species
AUUGAAAGCUGGCGGCAGGCUUAAUACACGCAAGUCGAGCGAGUGGCGGACGGGUGAGUCAUGCCUGGGAAACUGCCCGAUGGACGGGGAUAACUACUGGAAACGGUAGCUAAUACCGCAUACCAUCAGAUGCGCCCAGAUUGGCUUAGCUAGUAGGUGGGUUAACGGCUCACCUAGGCGACGAUCCCUAGCUGGUCUGAGAGGAUGAACAGCCACACUUGAACGGAGACACGGUCCAGACUCCUACGAGAGGCAGCAGUGUGGAAUAUUGCACAAUGGGCGCAAGCCUGAUGCAGCCAUGCCGCGUGUGUGAAGAAGGCCUUCGGGUUGUAAAGCACUUUCGGCGAGGAGGCGUUACUCGCAAAGGAAACACCGGCUAACUCCAUGCCAGCAGCCGCGGUAAUUC